UACGUAGGGUGCAAGCGUUAAUCGGAAUACUGGGCGUAAAGCGUGCGCAGGCGGUUAUGUAAGACAGUUGUGAAAUCCCCGGGCUCAACCUGGGAAUUGCAUCUGUGACUGCAUAGCUAGAGUACGGUAGAGGGGGAUGGAAUUCCGCGUGUAGCAGUGAAAUGCGUAGAUAUGCGGAGGAACACCGAUGGCGAAGGCAAUCCCCCUGGGCCUGUACUGACGCUCAUGCACGAAAGCGUGGGGAGCAAACAGG
rnacentral:rRNA from 1 species